rnacentral:tRNA from 1 species
AGGCAGUUAGUUUAAUUAAAAUACUUGAUUUCGGCUCAAUAGAUGUGGUUAGACCCCACAACUGCCCA